UUACAUUCACAGGUACCCAGGGUUAGGGCUUCCACAUCUUUUUGAGGGAGACGAUUGAACCCAUAACAUCAUGUUUAUUUUAGGAAGCCAGGAAAAAGAGGGCUCAUGUUCCUUUGCCUUGUGACAAAGCAUAAAUGUGGAGUAGCCUGGAGGUGUAGUGGUUGAGGCAAGGAGGAAGACACUGGGUGGUGUUAGGGGAAACUUGGGAAAGAAGCUUCUGGGUUUUGCCUGUGUUCCCUGGCUUGAGUCUGCAUCACUAGGACUCUGACUCUCUAGCCUCCCUCCUUUGUCAUUGGACCCUUGUCAUUGCAUUGGGCCCAUCUGCAUAAUCCAGGAGAGUCUUUCCAUCUCAACACUCAACUUAAUCACGUCUACAAAAUCCUGCUUUCCGUGUAAGAAAUGAAAAACUUGAGACUAAGACGCCAACGACUUUUCGAAGCUUCCACAGCCACCUGUGUCAGAAUGGAGCUGAAUUCAACAUCUUCUGAUGAACCCAACUGCAUCACUCACAGUCAGUGUGAGCUUGGCACAUUUGUGCAGCCGUACGUGGAGGUCACCAUUAUAACAGCUCAUCCGCAGAGAGAGGUGACUUCAAGUGUAUUGGGCAGUCCUGUCAUGACUAUAAGGAGCUUCACCUGCGUGGAAGGGCAUGAGGCUCUGGACAACCCCUAACCACCAAUCCUCUCUCCUUCCUGAUGAAUCUGGACGCUUUGAUGGGUCCUGCUGAUGCAUCCAGAUGUAAACCAUCAUUAUAUGGAUCCCAUGUAUGAAGUAGGACCGAACAUUAAUCAAUCAUUAGGCAUCUGUGAUUUCAGCACUUCCCCCUUUGAAGUCUCUAAUAAACGUCCGCAUUUAA